CAUUAGAUAAGUGAGACAAUCUCCAGCUAGAUUACAAAAGUUUAAGGAGUGUGUUGUGGUGGAAAAGAUAGAGUGCAAGAAGAUGUUGUGUCUUGAUGUUUGUACUAGGUGGAACUCGACCUACUUAAUGUUAGACACUGCUCAGAACUUUGAGAGAGCUUUUGAGAGAUUUGAGGAGCAAGAUACAAAUUUUAGAAAUUUGAACUUGAAAGGGGAGAGGGUUGGCCUAGUGUGGAUGAUUGGGAUAAUGUUAGAAACUUGAGGGAUUUCUUGGAACACUUUUAUGAAGUCACUUUGCGUAUAUCUGGCACUUCAUAUGUCACGUCCAAUAAUUUUUUUGAUGAGCUUUCCAAAAUUGAUAUUCUUUUACGUGAUGCUCAGUUAAAUAGUAAUAUUGAUUUCAAUGUUAUGGCCAUCAAGAUGAAAGAGAAGUAUGAUAAGUAUUGGGGUGAUAUUGAUAAGAUGAAUUUGCUUAUGUUUGUUGCUUGUGUUUUAGAUCCUAGACAAAAACUAAAGUAUCUUGAAUUUGCACUUAGUGAAAUGUCUAGUUCUGAAAAAGCUUGUGAAAUGAUGCAAAAGUUGAAGGAAUCUUUGUAUGAAUUGUUUGAUGAGUAUAAGCCUCCACUCCAUAGUACUUGUAGCCAAUCGAGUGUGUCAACACAUGUUUCUAUUGGUGAACCACAACAAAAAAUGAAAAGGCGAAUGCAAGCUUUGUAUAAAAAGCGUGAGUUGGAAAUUUGUGGUGAGGAUAAAACAUCCGAGUUGGAUAAGUAUCUAAUGAGGCUAAUGAAGAAUUUGUUGAAGAUUUUGAUAUUUUAUUGUGGUGGAAAGUGAACAGCCCUAGAUUUCCCACUCUUUCAAAAAUUGCCAGAGAUGUGUUAGCUAUACCAGUUUCUACGGUUGCUUCAGAGUCUGCAUUUAGCACCGGAGGACGUGUGCUUGAUCAAUAUAGGAGUUCUUUAACUCCUAAAAUUGUACAAGCUCUUGUGUGUACUCAAGAUUGGAUUCGAAGAUCAUCAUCACAAGAAGACAUAAAAAAGAUUGAAGAACAAAUCCAAGAGCUUGACAAGAUUGAAAAUGACAUUUCUUGGAAUGCAUUAGAGCCUACCCUAGAUUCAUGAGCUUUCGUGAGUUGAAGGGUUUAAUGCAAAUGGAGAUAUUUUGGAGAGAUGAAAUGAAUAUAUUUUGGAAAGAUGAAAUGGAUAUAAAUGGAGAAUGUUAAAAACAUAUAUUUCAAUUAUGUUUUAAUUCAAGACUUAUGUAAUAUUUUUAAUUAUGUAGUGAUUCAAAGACUUAUGUAAUAUUUUUAAUUAUGUAGUGAUUCAAAGAUU